rnacentral:rRNA from 1 species
UAUUGGACAAUGGGGGCAACCCUGAUCCAGCAAUGCCGCGUGUGUGAAGAAGGCCUUCGGGUUGUAAAGCACUUUCGAUGGGGAAGAAAAGCUCGGUGUUAAUACCGCCGAGUCUUGACGUUACCCAGAGAAGAAGCACCGGCUAACUCUGUGCCAGCAGCCGCGGUAAUACAGAGGGUGCAAGCGUUAAUCGGAAUUACUGGGCGAAAGCGCACGUAGGUGGUUUGGUAAGUUGGAUGUAAAUCCCCGGGCUCAACCUGGAACUGCAUUCAAUACUGCCUACAGAGAUGGAAGGAAGCGAAUUCCACAUGAGCGGUAAAUGCGAAAUGUGAGAACAUCAAUGGCAAGGAGUUCCUGGCAAUCUGACUGAGUCAGAAGGAGUGAAA